rnacentral:rRNA from 1 species
GAUGAACGCUGGCGGCGUGCCUAAUACAUGCAAGUCGAGCGAACGGACGUGAAGCUUGCUUCUCUGAUGUUAGCGGCGGACGGGUGAGUAACACGUGGAUAACCUACCUAUAAGACUGGGAUAACUUCGGGAAACCGGAGCUAAUACCGGAUAAUAUUUUGAACCGCAUGGUUCAAAAGUGAAAGACGGUCUUGCUGUCACUUAUAGAUGGAUCCGCGCUGCAUUAGCUAGUUGGUAAGGUAACGGCUUACCAAGGCAACGAUGCAUAGCCGACCUGAGAGGGUGAUCGGCCACACUGGAACUGAGACACGGUCCAGACUCCUACGGGAGGCAGCAGUAGGGAAUCUUCCGCAAUGGGCGAAAGCCUGACGGAGCAACGCCGCGUGAGUGAUGAAGGUCUUCGGAUCGUAAAACUCUGUUAUUAGGGAAGAACAUAUGUGUAAGUAACUGUGCACAUCUUGACGGUACCUAAUCAGAAAGCCACGGCUAACUACG